CGGGGCGUGGCGCAGCCUGGUAGCGCACUUGACUGGGGGUCAAGAGGUCAUCGGUUCAAAUCCGGUCGCCCCGACCA
rnacentral:tRNA from 3 species